rnacentral:rRNA from 1 species
ACGCUCGACACCUACGGGGGCAGCAGUGGGGAAUAUUGGGCAAUGGGCGCAAGCCUGACCCAGCAACGCCGCGUGAAGGAUGAAGGCUUUCGGGUUGUAAACUUCUUUUAUCAGGGACGAAACAAAUGACGGUACCUGAUGAAUAAGCCACGGCUAACUACGUGCCCGCAGCCGCGGUAAUCUGAGCGGGCUGGCAAGGC